rnacentral:rRNA from 1 species
ACGGGGCGCAGCAGGCGCGAAACCUCCGCAAUGUGAGAAAUCGCGACGGGGGGAUCCCAAGUGCCAUUCUUAACGGGAUGGCUUUUCAUUAGUGUAAAGAGCUUUUGGAAUAAGAGCUGGGCAAGACCGGUGCCAGCAGCCGCGGUAA